UCUCUUCGGGGAUGCACCUCUCUAUCAACAACUCUCUCUUUCUCACCAUGAUAACGUGUGAGUAAAAAAUCUCAUAUAUCCUUCAUCAUGGGACAUAUAAACAUCACUAUAAUUAAGAACAAGGGGUGCAAAGAUAGACAGGAGGUUUGCCUAGAAGCACCCACCCUUUAAAGAGCCUGUAAUACUCAUUGAUCGAGCGCCCUUGCACUAAAGAUGAACAGGGUUAAGCGAUCUGCCAAAGUUGUGGGAUGUCAAAAUGCAUCGGUAGAGGAGCGUUCCGCCGAAGCAGGAAGCAACCGCAAAGGCAGGGGUCGACAAAGCGGAAGUG
rnacentral:ncRNA from 1 species